ACGAACGCUGGCGGCGUGCUUAACACAUGCAGGUCGAACGGAAAGGCCCUGCUUGCAGGGUGCUCGAGUGGCGAACGGGUGAGUAACACGUGGGUGAUCUGCCCCUUACUUUGGGAUAAGCCUGGGAAACUGGGUCUAAUACUGGAUAGGACCAUGCUGUAGGUGGUGUGGUGGAAAGAUUAGUUUCGGUAAGGGAUGAGCUCGCGGCCUAUCAGCUUGUUGGUGGGCUAAUGGCCUACCAAGGCGUCGACGGGUAGCCGGCCUGAGAGGGUGGACGGCCACAUUGGGACUGAGAUACGGCCCAGACUCCUACGGGAGGCAGCAGUGGGGAAUAUUGCACAAUGGGCGCAAGCCUGAUGCAGCGACGCCGCGUGGGGGAUGACGGCCUUCGGGUUGUAAACUCCUUUCAGCCAUGACGAAGCCCUUGUGGUGACGGUAGUGGUAGAAGAAGCACCGGCUAACUACGUG
rnacentral:rRNA from 1 species